rnacentral:rRNA from 1 species
GAUGAACGCUGGCGGCGUGCCUAAUACAUGCAAGUCGAGCGAACAGAUAAGGAGCUUGCUCCUUUGACGUUAGCGGCGGACGGGUGAGUAACACGUGGGUAACCUACCUAUAAGACUGGGAUAACUUCGGGAAACCGGAGCUAAUACCGGAUAACAUUUGGAACCGCAUGGUUCUAAAGUGAAAGAUGGUUUUGCUAUCACUUAUAGAUGGACCCGCGCCGUAUUAGCUAGUUGGUAAGGUAACGGCUUACCAAGGCAACGAUACGUAGCCGACCUGAGAGGGUGAUCGGCCACACUGGAACUGAGACACGGUCCAGACUCCUACGGGAGGCAGCAGUAGGGAAUCUUCCGCAAUGGGCGAAAGCCUGACGGAGCAACGCCGCGUGAGUGAUGAAGGGUUUCGGCUCGUAAAACUCUGUUAUUAGGGAAGAACAAACGUGUAAGUAACUAUGCACGUCUUGACGGUACCUAAUCAGAAAGCCACGGCUAACUACGUG